UACAGAGGUCUCAAGCGUUGUUCGGAUUCAUUGGGCGUAAAGGGUGCGUAGGCGGCGCGGUAAGUCGGGUGUGAAAUCUCGGGGCUUAACUCCGAAACUGCAUUCGGUACUGCCGUGCUUGAGGACUGGAGAGGAGACUGGAAUUUACGGUGUAGCGGUGAAAUGCGUAGAUAUCGUAAGGAAGACCAGUGGCGAAGGCGGGUCUCUGGACAGUUCCUGACACUGAGGCACGAAGGCCAGGGGAGCAAACGGG
rnacentral:rRNA from 1 species